UACAGAGGGUGCAAGCGUUAAUCGGAAUUACUGGGCGUAAAGCGUGCGUAGGUGGUGCGUUAAGUCUGUCGUGAAAGCCCCGGGCUCAACCUGGGAAUGGCGAUGGAUACUGGCGCGCUAGAGUGCGGUAGAGGAGAGUGGAAUUCCCGGUGUAGCAGUGAAAUGCGUAGAGAUCGGGAGGAACAUCAGUUGCGAAGGCGGCUCUCUGGACCAGCACUGACACUGAGGCACGAAAGCGUGGGGAGCAAACAGG
rnacentral:rRNA from 1 species